AAUUAUAUUAAGCAUUUAUAGAUGCAUAAUGUCGGGUGUCUGCAUUAUCAAAUUAUAUGGAUGCAUAAUGUAUUUAUGCUUUUACAAUGUUGGUAUUUUAAGGCAAAUUUAUGUGUAUUUGUACGUUAAGUUCUUCUCCAUGUUGUUGGUAUAUAUGUUCUGAGUCUUAAGUGGAGCCAGAUUUUCUAAGUUAGAUUUUGCUUACUAAUACCAUAUCUAUGGGAGAUAACUGCCAGUCCCUCUCUUUCUCUCUCUCUCUCUCUCUCUCUCAUGAGCCUUUCCCUUUGACUUGCAUAUCUGGCUCUGUAUGAAUAUGAACAUAUAUAGCAGACAUAGAGAAAUAGAGAAACUUAUCUGUUCAACGUUUCUUGUUAAGUCACACAGAUGCAGGUAUGGGUUCGGGGAUGAGUUUGGAGACACCGGUACAGGCAUCGUAACUUUCAAAAAUGUGGUUACAGGGGUACAAUAAUAUAGUAUAUCUAUGUACGUAUGAAAAAUACCACAAAAAGUUCAAAAUGGGAACAACCUUUAAACAAACGAAUAAUAUAAACAAAAAUAGUAUAUGUUAAUGACCCCUAACUCGUAAAAACAAAAUGAAAAUUGAAUUACAAAAAAACUAGUUCAAGUAAAAAUAAGUCGUUUGGCUUAGUUUUGAUCGAAAAAGUACUCAAGUGUGUCCAAGCACUUGAUUUGCUGCAUGGAUAUUGUGACACGGGCACAAGGACCUUAUUGAAGAACCCAUGUAGCUUAGUUUUCUCCCAAAAUUCACUUAUUGGUACCAUAUCUAUGAGGGAUAAGUGCCCACCUUUCUCUCUCUUUCUUUGGCACUUAUGACUUAUAGAUACGCAUAUGCUAUUUGGUAGGCAAAGUCUAAGAGAAAGGCUGGAGAGAGAGAGAGAGAGUGAGUUGUACAAAGGUAAAAGUAUCACGUUGAAGAAAUGAAAGUUUGAAAGCUAAUAUUUUAAAGUAAGAGAGCUAAGCACUUUUAAGCGAAAGAAAAUAAAAUAGCUUAAGAAGGAAAGAUGAGCACUUUCAAAUGAAAUAAAAUAACAACUUAGAAAAGAAAAUUAACAACUUUCCUUUUCUCUUUCUCCCUUCUUUCGUUGUGAGAUGCACAAAGGAUCCAAGUAGGUUGGCAGUGAGAAGCAUAACAGAUUGCUUUUCUAUGCAUAAGAACAAUGGAGGCCCAAAUUAGGAUUAUCCACUUUAUACUCUUUCUAUUAUUUUUAAUUUUUUUUUUUUUAAUUUUUUCUUCUUCUUGUGGGAUGAACACUUCCACAUUUUAUCCCACAAUCCCCUGCUGAAACUGAAAGGUCUGAGGUUAGGGUGGUUAUUUAGGAUGGAAACUGCUAGAGAAUAAGACCCCAUAGUCCCAUACUAUUCUUGCACAAGGAAUCACACUAGCAAAUGGGGACCAUGCACCCCCUACCAUACGUUGUUCAGCUCAGUGAAAGGAUCCCAGUUAAGUGUCCUGGGAUUUCCAUUUACAGUUUAAUUGGAAAGAUUGGCCAAAAAUGACCAAUGACUUCCCUGAAUGUGGCAUCUGUUGCGUCUAAUCAGAUUAUGUCUCACAAGAAGGAAAGAAACAGCCUUCAAGCACUCCCACUAUCCAUCUACCCUAGUUCAUAUCUGUGAUUCAACUGCGAUCAACUUUUCGUUCAUUGCAUAUCACUGAUGCAUUUAUCAGGCAUGACUGAUUCAGGGUAGAGGAGAUCAGUCUAUUCAUCAUAGACAUCGGUUAUAUGCCUGAUAAAUGCAUCAGUGAUAUACCAUGAACGAAAAGUCGAUCAGUUGGGGCACUCAUACCUUCUUGCUUCCAGGUCACUGAAACAACUUUCCUCUUACCUCAUCUUCUAAGGCAUGGAAUUUAAAGGGUAAAAUUUGAUCCUCUUUCUCUUCUUUUGGAAUCAUAGAGCAGACCUGUUCUUACCCAACUAACCAAGCCUUUUCUCAUUGUAGGACCAAGGAAUUCUAAUAAAAUGUAAGACAUAUGUCUCUCAAAUAAGGCAGCUGAUACAGUUAGCAGUGAACUUUUCCCUUGAAAGGACUGCAUAUGAUGUAAGUCUUGAUGAUGACACUUGGACAAAAGACUUAUUUGAUGUUGUCGUGGGUAGAUCUUCCAAAUCCUGGGAACAGCUCAAUGCGUAAGUUCUUUUGUGAUAAACAUUCUUCUGAGAUUGUGUUUGUAUGCUGUCUCUCACUGCUUCAUACUAGAAUCGAAAGGCAAAGGUGUUUUCUAUGGUGCUCCAGCAGUGGUUAAAUUCUGGGUGCCUUCAAAGGCAGUUCUACAGGGAAGCCUAUUCAACUGCCAUUGAGCCUUUGGAUAUCCUUGCAGAGCAACUUCCAGAGCAGAAGUUUAAAUGGGUAUGAUUCUUUUUAACUGAGCUAGCUACUUGGUUUGAAUUUUACCCUUGUUUUAAUGUCUCUGUUUUGUGGCAUAUAUGACGCUAAUUUUGUUCUUAACCGUCAUGUUUCCUUCGGUCAAUCUUUAUUUGCUGGAACAACUGAAAUUUCUCAGGCCAAGGUACUGUUAGCUGAGUACGGGUCGCUUGUGUCAGUACUCUUGAUUGUUGGGUUGUCUGGUUAUGUGAAGAAUGAGCCCAUCGAGAUCCGGUGCAGUGAAAUCAAGUAAGAAAAGCGUUGAAAGCAGUUGUUGAGGUUAUCUCGAUGGCUUCCCUGGUCAUUUCUGUAAGUGCUAAUGUGAAAUUAUCAUAUUAUGAUAGACCAUGGUUAGUCUAUGACCUCUGAAUCUUCUGUGCUUUGUUAAUUUUGGUCACCACAAGGGAGAUGGAAGGAACAAAAAGAUACUAGCUGACCAAAAGGUUGCUUAGGAGCAAAAUUUUUUUCCAUGUUUUUCUUGACGCCUCGAGGAUUCUUUAGAUUUGUUCCAUAUAUACGGCCCAGAACUGCGGGGACUGCUUAUGAACUUGAAAUAUGUGCCAAAUUGAUUCUACCAAUAAAAGAAUGUUAAGCUGGUGGGCCCAGGUUGGAUCUGCA